rnacentral:pre_miRNA from 1 species
CGCGCGGACAGUCAUCGACUAGUGUAUUCGCAUUCUAGUCGUUGACUGUCUCUGCGGU